CACGAACCGUACGAACGUUAUUCGGAAUCACUGGGCUUAAAGCGUGCGUAGGCGGCCUGGAGGGUGGGGUGUGAAAUCCCUCGACUCAACCGAGGAAUUGCGCUCCAAACCGCUAGGCUUGAGGGAGAUAGAGGUGAGCGGAACUAAUGGUGGAGCGGUGAAAUGCGUUGAUAUCAUUAGGAGCACCGGUGGCGAAAGCGGCUCACUGGGUCUUGACUGACGCUGAGGCACGAAAGCUAGGGGAGCGAACGGG
rnacentral:misc_RNA from 1 species